GGGCCUGUGGUCUAGUGGUAUGACGUCUGCUUGACGUGCAGAAGACUGCCGGUUCGAUUCCGGCCAGGCCCA
rnacentral:tRNA from 2 species